rnacentral:rRNA from 1 species
UACAGAGGGGGCAAGCGUUGUUCGGAAUUACUGGGCGUAAAGGGCGCGUAGGCGGCCCGCUAAGUCGAACGUGAAAUCCCCAGGCUCAACCUGGGAACUGCGUCCGAUACUGGCAGGCUUGAAUCCGGGAGAGGGAUGUGGAAUUCCAGGUGUAGCGGUGAAAUGCGUAGAUAUCUGGAGGAACACCGGUGGCCGAAGGCGGCAUCCUGGACCGGUAUUGACGCUGAGGCGCGAAAGCUAGGGGA